AGGUUUCGCAAGGAGCAGUACUCGCGCUUAAUUUCUAUGCUGUGUGUCUCAGGAAGGUCUGGAAAGACUGAUCGCGCUGUUCCAUCAAGAAUCUUAUGUGAGGAUUCAACCACGGGGCCGGCUGUUUCGAAAUCCUUCUGGUUACCAGAGGUAUAUGUUUAUAAAAUAAAAUUUUUAAGCAGCCAGUAAAAAACUCAUCGUUAAUAUCACUGAUAUGAUAAAUGUUACGCCAAGGUAUACUCCUUAGGUCGCUUCUAAAUUGAUAAUAAUUUAAAUUUUUGAAAUCAUGAUAAGUUUUAAAAAAGGGAACCAUCCCAGGUCUCGGAAACCUGCAAACGCAAAAUAUUCACCAUAAUCAAUAUUAAAAUCCCCUAAAAUCGUUAUAUUAUUUGAAUGUCUUAAAAGGACAAUAAAAAAUUAAUCAAUAAAAAUAAAAAACACCGUUCUACAACGUUGUCAAAUUUUCAAAUGACUUAGAGUCCGUGAUAACAUAACCAAACAAAAUAACUCAAAUUAAUCGUUUUUAAGGUAAGUGAAGUUUGAAAUAAAAAUUAAAAUAAAAAACGAAUAAAAAUGAAAUUGAAAAUUAUAACUUAGCUUAUCUUGUAGGAUACUGAAGUUCUCGGAUGAGGAAAUUUUGACUCUUCAAAAGGAAUCGGUAACAAUGAUUCUUGAUUAAAUUGGAAUAAUUCUUCGGAAUGGUAUACUGGAUUAAUUGGAUCAGGAACCAGUUAAUUUUCUUGUUUAUUAUUAAAGAUUUCAACGUUCAGCUUAAAAAAAUAUUCAAAUAUUUAAUCUACGGAUUUUCGUCCAAUUCUUCAUCAAAACUCCCAUAUGAUGGAUGAUUUUCGUUCUUGACAUGCUAAGAUUAUCGUUUUCAAUAGUUUCAACCGGACAAACAUGAAUUACAAUAAGAAAUUAAUGAAAAAUGUAAUUUGAGGUUAUGUCACUGUCGAAAUUCUAUUAAAUUACUUUGUAUCGACUUUACAUGGAUUAAAUACAAUAAAGAACGUAAACGGUCAAGAAUACAUAAUGAAUUGUAUCAUAUUUACAACAUUUUAUUAAUACAAAAUUAAAUUUC